rnacentral:tRNA from 1 species
GUGGACGUAGCUCAAUUGGUAGAGCCUCGGCUUGUGAUGCCGGUGGUUGAGGGUUCAAGUCCCUUCGUCCACCCCA